CAAGCAUCUGCACAUAUUUUUCCAGACACUACAGAGGUGUCACUCACCAAUGAUGACCAUGCCUCCCUAGUGUCCUGCUGCCAAUCAAGAACCACGUGGUUGCCAAGCAGACCUCAAGAUGCAGAGGAUCCAGUCUUUGAGACCCUAUAAGACAGUGGAAACACUGAAUCUCUAAAUGACUGCAUGCAACACAUGACCUCAUUCCCAAGAACCCACAUAGACUACGAUGUCAAGAAGGCACUCCUACAUAGAAAUUCUGGGGCCAAAAAAUAAUAAGGAUUAAAAACACUAGAAUCUGAAAAUAACCUAAAGAGAUGACUGGAGAAGUAGAAGACAAAAGUCUGUGGUGUUGUGAAUACAAAGGAAGAAUGAUUUAAGGAGGGAGUAGCCAACAGAACCAGAUGCUGCUGAAGUGAAAACAAGAUAAUACCCA
rnacentral:lncRNA from 1 species